GCACACGGUAUUCUUUAGUAAA
rnacentral:snRNA from 1 species